rnacentral:rRNA from 1 species
UACGUAGGGGGCGAGCGUUGUCCGGAGUUACUGGGCGUAAAGCGCACGCAGGCGGUCUUUUAAGUUUGGAGUGACAGUUGGUGGCUUAACUGCCAAAGUGCUUCGAAAACUGAAAGACUUGAGGGCUUCAGAGGGACACGGAAUUCCGGGUGGAGUGGUGAAAUGCGUAGAGAUCCGGAGGAACACCGGUGGCGAAGGCGGUUCUCUGGGCCUGUACUGACGCUGAGGAGCGAAAGCGUGGGGAGCGAACAGG